rnacentral:misc_RNA from 1 species
AAAUUAAAAGUAAUUCAUAUUUGAUUAUUUCAGGCCCGAGUAGCUGAAGCUGCUGAUCAAACUCUGAAAAUUCACAAAGAUAGUACGUUCACAGAGAACCCUAUGGAGAGGGAAGAUGUUCAGGAAGUAGUCAAGGUGGAAACCGUUAGAGGUCUGCAUAAUGUGUAUGAUAGUCUGCGUGAGAAUGGAUUCAGUAAUCUGCAAGGAGUUCGAGUCCCUGUCGUAGAAGAACGAGCUCCAGAUGAGAAAUGUUUCGAUAUUCUUGUUGAUUCUCUCAAACAGGAGCCUGCUGCUACACAGUGUGUGUUCUCCUGUCAGAUGGGCCGAGGGAGGACGACAUUAGGGAUGAUCAUUGCCUGCUUGGUAAAGGAGAUACAGAUUAGUACUGAGCUGAGGAGGAUGGGAGACAUAGGUCUAGUUCCUCAAGCCACAGUUGAUGAUCUUAUCAAACAGAAGUUCGAGGCUCCCUUACCCAGAACUCAAGACGACGACGAUCCAUUUAUCAAGGGAGAAUUUGAUGUCAUCAAAGAGCUUCUAGAGAAAAUACCAGAGGCUAAAGAAGGAAAACAAAAGGUUGACCGCGUAAUUGAUAUCUGUGGACCUCCUCCAAAAGGAACAGGGAUGCAAAACCUGAGAGAAUGCAUCAUUGAAACUAAAUGGAAGUAUGAUGUUGCCCCCGAAGAGAAGCAAGUUGUCUGGAAGCAGAUGAUUCUUAACUUCAUGGAAAGAUAUUUCUACUUGAUUUGCUUUGCUACCUACGCUAGGGCACAUGGUCCAGAGGGAUUUCAGAAAAGUUUUGUCCAGUGGAUGGAUGAACAUAAAGAGCUACGAGUGAUGAUUGAAGAAGGAAAAGACAAGCUUGAGUGGUACAGACAGGUUGAUCCUGCGAAGCUGAAUACUUUGAAGGAAUUGAUAAAUGCGCCAAAUUAUAAGGAAAACAUGGCAACACUUAUCAGAACCAUCUAUGAGUUAUAUAUACUCCAUGAUUUAGAACCAUCUAUGAGUUUGCUUUCCUAACCUAUGCUGAUCUACCAAGAGGACCAAUUAAAAACAACAGCAUGAGAAAAUUGGCUGCUAAGACCCUGCUUGAGAUUCUGCCCCCUGAUAUAGCUACGAAUGUUCAGAAGAAACUAGAUGAACAAAAUGCUUCUCCUGACUUUGUAACCCUCGUC